rnacentral:rRNA from 1 species
UACGACUACAUAUCAGGCAUAUCAAUAAGCGGAGGAAAAGAAACUAACUAAGGAUUCCCUCAGUAACGGCGAGUGAAGCGGGAAGAGCUCAAAUUUGAAAUCUUCAAGGUUCUACCUUGACGAAUUGUAGUUUAAAGAAGUGUUUUCUGUUGGAGUUUUGGUAAAAGUUCUUUGGAAUAGGACAUCAUAGGAGGGUGAGAAUCCCGUAUUUGACCAUUAUUUCCAGCUUUGUGAUACACUUUCAAAGAGUCGGAUUGUUUGGGAAUGCAGUCCAAAAUGGGUGGUAAAUUUCAUCUAAAGCUAAAUAUUGGCGAGAGACCGAUAGCGAACAAGUACCGUGAGGGAAAGAUGAAAAGAACUUUGAAAAGAGAGUUAAACAGUACGUGAAAUUGUCAAAAGGGAAGCGUUUGACACCAGUGUUGUUUUCUCGAAAAUCAAUUAAAAAAGGCUGGAUUUUGUGUUGUAUUGACUUUAAUCAGCUUGCUGCACUCUUUUCAUUGUCUUUUUUAAUGCACUUUUCGUUUAACAAGUCAACAUCAGUUUCUUUUGUUGUAAAAGGGUCAUUGGAAGGUGGCUUUCUUUCGGAGAAAGUGUUUAUAGCCUUUGGCCUCUGCAAUCGGAGAGAUUGAGGUCUGCAGCGUAGAUCCUUCGGGGUUAGAUACAUUUGUGCUAAGUUAUAGCCUUUCAUAGACAACUUGUUGACUAUGAUCAGUCAUGUAGCUUACUCGCUUAUGCUAUUUUACCUACGCUUAGGAUGUUGAGCGCAUGUCUCUCUCU